AUGCAGCCGCGGCGGCAGCAGCAGUCCAUCCGCUCCUUCCUCCACCCGCGCCCGAGCCCGGCGCAGGAGGCGUCCGGCGCCGGCACGACCCCCGAGAGGCCCCCGCGGCCCCCCGCCGCGUCGUCGGUCGACGGCAUCAUGGAGCGGCUCGUGCGUCCGCCGUCGCAGGGGAGAAACAAAGAUGCCACUCAGAUUAGAAAUGCUGAGAGAGCCUUACCUGGUAAAAAUGAAGAUACCUCAAAUGAGCAGCCAAGUGCAUCAUUCCCUGUACGGUACAACGGCAAAUAUAGCAGAGGAACUGUGUUAUUUGCAGAACAUAGCACAGAUACCACUCCGCCACAGGAGCCAUUGAAGUUCUCUGCAAGGUCUUCCACAGAUGAAUUUGUUAGAGCAAGCACGCUGUUCCCUGAAAUUGGUUCAGAUCAAACUCUGCUUCAGGAGUGUCCGAAGAAGUUAUCCUCAGAGUGCCCCAGCAACCAGUACGUUCAAGCUAAUUCAGUGUUUGAAGCAUUUGAUGUACAAACUCCAUCCCAGGAUCCGUUAAAGAGAAUCUUUUCUGGGCCUUUUCAUGGAGCAGAUACACCUUUAUCAGAGUAUCGUUCAUAUCCAAUUCCUUUGCAGCAUCCAUCGAAAAAGUUGUCAUCGGGCUCUUCUAGUGGUGAAUACCUUAGAGCAGUGACACCGCUUGGACUUGAUUCGAAUGAUACUCCUACAGCGAAACACUCAAAGAAGCUAUUCUCUGGGUCUUCAGACCAUUCAUACAUUAAAGCAACUAAUUUGUUUCCGGAAUUUGAUUCAAAUGGAACUCCGCUGCAGAACCACUCCAAUAAGUUCUCAGUAUCUAUGAACAGUAAGAAUAUUGGAGCACCUGCUACACUGUUUCCGGAACUUGAUUCUGUUCUUCUGAAACCAGAAACUCCAGUGACACAAGCAGUGGCUCCUCGUGGGAAGAGAGUUCAACAGGAUCAAUGCAUGACUGCCAAUAACUGUCAGUCUCCUUUGUGGGGUUCAAAUAAGAAGGUGAAAUCAGCUCAUUGUUCUCCAGCUGGGAAAAUGGUUCAUGAUGAAAUGGCUGAAAGUGCACGUAGUAAAUUUGAAUGGCUGAAUCCUUUGAAUAUCAGGGAUGCAAAUAAAAGGCGGCCAGAUGACCCACUUUAUGACAAGAGAACUCUUUUUAUUCCACCUGAUGCACUGAGAAAGAUGUCAACAUCUCAAAAGCAAUACUGGACUAUUAAGUGUAAAUAUAUGGAUGUUCUCCUCUUCUUCAAAGUGGGGAAGUUUUAUGAGCUCUAUGAAGUAGAUGCUGAGAUCGGCCAAAAGGAACUUGAUUGGAAAAUGACUAUUAGUGGGGUGGGAAAAUGCCGACAGGUUGGUAUUUCAGAGAGUGGGAUUGACAAUGCUGUUGAAAAGCUUUUAGCUCGGGGAUAUAAAGUUGGAAGGAUAGAACAAAUGGAAUCUGCAGCACAGGCGAAAGCUAGAGGACCAAAUUCAGUUAUUGAAAGAAAGUUAGCUCAUGUAUCCACACCGUCAACUGCAGCUGACAGCAACAUAGGGCCUGAUGCUGUUCAUCUUCUUGCAUUGAAAGAGGUUACUCUAGCUUCUAAUGGUUCUCGGGUCUACGGAUUUGCUUUUCUAGAUUAUGCUGCACUUAAAAUCUGGGUUGGUUCACUUCAAGAUGAUGAUUCUUCUGCAGCUUUGGGGGCUUUGCUGGUGCAGGUUUCCCCGAGGGAGAUAAUCUAUGAAUCCUCAGGCCUCUCAAGAGAAAGUCGUAAAUCAAUGAUAAAAUAUGCCUCAGCAGGCUCUGUGAAAAUGCAACUGACCCCACUACCUGGGACAGAUUUCUCUGAUGCCUCACAAAUUCAAAUGCUAGUACAUUCUAAAGGAUACUUUAAAGCAUCAACAGAUUCUUGGCUAUCUGCAUUGGAUUAUUCAGUGAAUCAAGAUGCAGUUAUCUGUGCACUUGGUGGACUUAUUGGUCAUUUGACUAGACUUAUGCUAGACGAUGCUCUAAAAAAUGGGGAAGUCUUACCUUACAAUGUGUACCAAACUUGUUUAAGGAUGGAUGGUCAGACUCUUGUGAACCUGGAGAUUUUCGGCAAUAACUUUGAUGGUGGCUCAUCAGGUACUCUGUACAAGCACCUCAAUCACUGCAUAACCGCAUCUGGUAAGCGGCUUUUAAGAAGAUGGAUAUGCCAUCCACUAAAAGAUGUCGAUGCUAUAAAUAGAAGGCUUGAUAUUGUUGAGGGUUUCAUUCAACAUUGUGGGGUAGGCUCUGUUACACUUGAGCAUCUCCGGAAAAUUCCUGACCUUGAGAGGUUACUUGGGCGAGUCAGAUCUACUGUUGGGCUAACAUCUGCUGUCCUGUUGCCUUUUGUUGGUGAAAAGAUAUUAAAGAGGCGGAUUAAAACGUUUUGCAUGCUUAUCAAGGGCCUCCGGGUUGCAAUUGACUUAUUAAGUGCCUUGCGUAGAGAGGACCAUGGCAUUCCAGCGCUGUCAAAAUCAGUUGAUAUUCCAACCCUGAGUUCUCUUGAUGAAUCAGUCCAUCAGUUUGAAGAGGCUAUACGCAUUGACUUUGAACAGUACCAGGAUCAUGAUAUCAAAGACCAUGAUGCUACCACCUUGGCUAAUUUAGUGGAACAUUUUGUUGGAAAAGCUACCGAAUGGUCUUUGGUAAUCAAUGCCAUCAGCACUGUUGAUGUCCUUAGGUCCUUUGCAGCAAUGGCAUUGUCAUCAUUUGGCACCAUGUGCAGACCACGUAUUCUGUUGAAAGACAAAUCGCCUAUACUUCGGAUGAAGGGUCUAUGGCAUCCAUAUGCUUUUGCAGAAAGUGGAACUGGGCUUGUGCCAAACGAUUUGUCUCUUGGCCAGGAUUUAUUGGGUCAUAAUCGCUUUGCAUUGUUGUUGACUGGUCCAAAUAUGGGAGGAAAAUCUACAAUAAUGCGCGCCACCUGCUUGGCUAUCGUGCUUGCCCAGCUUGGCUGUUAUGUCCCCUGCAUAUCAUGUGAAUUGACCCUUGCAGACUCCAUCUUUACACGGCUAGGCGCAACGGAUCGGAUUAUGUCUGGAGAAAGUACUUUUCUUGUCGAAUGUAGUGAGACUGCAUCUGUUCUUCAGAAUGCAACUGAGGAUUCUCUUGUCUUGCUUGAUGAACUUGGCAGAGGAACUAGCACAUUUGAUGGAUACGCGAUUGCAUAUGCAGUAUUCCGCCACCUGGUGGAACAGGUGCGAUGCCGUCUGCUCUUUGCCACCCACUACCACCCUCUCACCAAGGAGUUCGCCUCCCACCCCCACGUGAGCCUCCAGCACAUGGCCUGCAUGCUGAGGCCAAGGAGCGGCGGCAACGGCGAGAUGGAGCUCACCUUCCUCUACCGUCUUGUGUCAGGCGCCUCUCCGGAGAGCUACGGCCUGCAGGUCGCCACGAUGGCGGGGAUCCCAAAGUCCAUAGUGGAGAAGGCGGCGGUCGCGGGCGAGAUGAUGAAGUCGAGGAUCGCAGGGAACUUCAGGUCGAGCGAAGGGCGAGCGGAGUUCUCCACCCUCCACGAGGACUGGCUGCAGACGAUCCUGGCGAUCGGCGGCGUCAAGGACGCGCACCUGGACGAGGACACCAUGGACACGAUGUUCUGCGUCGCCCAGGAGCUCAAGUCUCAUUUCAGGAAAGGAGGAAGCUGA
rnacentral:rRNA from 1 species